AGAGUUUGAUCAUGGCUCAGGACGAACGCUGGCGGCGUGCUUAACACAUGCAAGUCGAACGAGAGGACAAGAGAAGCUUGCUUCUUUUGGAAUCGAGUGGCAAACGGGUGAGUAACGCGUAAACAACCUGCCCUCCGGAUGGGGACAACAGCUGGAAACGGCUGCUAAUACCGAAUACGAUCUAAAGGCCGCAUGACCUUUAGAAGAAAAGAUGGCCACUGAAUAUGCUAUCGCCGGAAGAGGGGUUUGCGUCUGAUUAGCUAGUUGGAGGGGUAACGGCCCACCAAGGCAAUGAUCAGUAGCCGGUCUGAGAGGAUGAACGGCCACAUUGGAACUGAGACACGGUCCAGACUCCUACGGGAGGCAGCA
rnacentral:rRNA from 1 species